UUCAAAAGGAUCUCUACAAAUUUUUAUUUUAUCUUGUCAUCUAAGGUAAUUUUUAUUAAUAUUCUUCCAGCUAAGAGAUUUGUACGACUGAUACUGCAGGGUUACGCUUUGUGAUUUCUUUCAUAUAAGGUGAUUAGCACUUGCCUGUUUGGUAUUUCACCAGGAAGUUCCAUAAAACGAACUGCACGUUCUUUAUAACUAGCAAAGACAGACUGGAAAUAAACACUUAGGAAUUAGAAAUUGAAUGAAAGAAAAGCUAAUUCACAUUUCCACGAGAUCAUAGAUAUGGAAUCAACACGAUCUAACAAUGAUAUGGUAUCAAGCGUAACCCUGCAGUAUCUAUUUUUAGUUAAAAAUAGAUAUUGGAAAACAAAGUUUUGGCAAAAGCUGAAGGAGAGUUGGGACUAAGGGAUGGAAACAUUACAACUAGAGCGUCAGCAAGGAUAUCGUGGGCAAACUGUUGCCUUCCAAAAGCCGAAGGAGGGUUGGGACUGAGGGAUCUCAUCUUAUGGAACAAAACUCUGAACCUGAAGCUCAUCUGGUUCCUGUUCCAAGAGAAUGAGUCCUUGUGGGCUUCCUGGUGUAAAGAACAUCGUUUAAAAGGAGUCAGUUUAUGGAGCCUCGAAGAGAACAAGCAAGGAUCAUGGAUUUGGAAAUCAAUAUUAAAAUUGCGUCACCUUGCUGUUCGGUUUCUUAGAUGCAACGUUGGGAAUGGUCGCUCAGCUAGCUUCUGGUAUGACCAAUGGACUCCAUUGGGACCUCUCAUCAACGUCCUCGGCCACUCGGGCCCUCGGGCAUUAGGAAUCCCACUUCACUCGUCAGUUGCUGAAGCCUGUACAGAUAUAGGAUGGAGGCUCAGACAUGCCAGAUCACCUGCAGCAGAAGCUCUCCAGCUUCAUCUAUGCACGGUACCUCUCCCUUCUACCUCUACUGCCUCUGAUGCUUAUGUGUGGGAAGUAGAUAAUGAGGUUGUAGAGGCUUUCUCAUCGAAGUCAACCUGGGAAGCUAUCCGCAACAGAAGAGAACCGCAGUCAUGGACUAAAAACAUUUGGUUUAAAGGUGCUAUACCUAGUCAAGCUUUCAUGAUGUGGAUGACGCAUCUUAACCGUCUUCCCACAAGGGAACGCACUUCCAUAUGGGCUGUAAACACACUUGAUGCAUGUUGUGUUUGCAAUGUGUACUUGGAAUCAAGAGACCAUCUCUUCCUGCGGUGUGAGAUCAAUGAAAACCUUUGGCUGCUAGUGCUUCGAAGACUGGGCUAUAACCCCUUCCGGUUUCAUACUUUGACGGCUUUUACGGAGUGGCUUGGACACAGAAACAAUGUUUGCCCGAUCACGCUUCGCCGGCUUGUGGCUCAAGCGACCAUUUAUUCUAUCUGGUGGGAGCGGAAUAACAGACUGCACAACUCGAUCUCCACCCCGGUCUUGAUUACCUUCAAAAAGAUUGACAGGCUUGUUCGCAACUCCAUCACUGCAAGGAAGAACCGCAAGAAGUUUAAGAAUCUAAUGGAACUUUGGCUAAUGUAUGAAUGAGCACCCCAAGCCACCAUAAUCACUUGUAAUCGUUCUCUGUUUUUCUUUUUUUCGCCAGAGGAAGAUUACCCCGCUUAACUUUUUUGUAUUUACAAACCUUCUCAUUUUUUUAAUGAAAUUCACAUACUUAGCAAAAAAAAAAAAAUUUGGCAAAAGGGAAAGCUUGAUAAGCAGAUGCACAAGCAUGGCCAUCUAAUAAAUUCAAAAAAGGAAACAUAUGCAUGAUACCGCACUUAUCACGGAAAUUAAAUAAUACCUAACACUUAAACUCAAAAAAAAAAUAUAUAUAUAUAGCAUGACUGAAAUUAAAAAAAACUGUAUAUAAAUUAUUACAAGAAUACGAAGAAAAUUAGGUCCAGUGAUACUGAUAAUGCCAAACUGUAUUCUAAGUAGAGUUGUCCCUUUGUGUCUAGUGCGCUUGUGAAUUAUAUAAAUGUGAAUAUAAAUUCCCAUAGCAUCUUUAUUUCUUUAUCCGUACAUGCCACAUGUUCACAUGUCAUCUUUGGGAAAGUUUCCUUUCAUAAAAUACUUCAUAUGUCGCUUUAUGUCUUAUUUUAUCUCUGUGUAUUUGUUUGCGUAUAUUACCAUUUUAAUAAUCAGUCUAUUUGGAUAAAUUGGACUAUGGGGGAAACAUAACCAAAUUAACUGACCUCGGUAAAAUGCAAGAGGCUUUGAUCGAUGCGAAUACUUUUAAGUUUAGCCUAGAGUGCUUAAACCUCCCAAAAUGAAUUAUCUUGAAGAAAGCGUCGUCAUCUCUUUUCGUAUGAUCUUUGUCACGUUAGUAG
rnacentral:lncRNA from 1 species